GACGAACGCUGGCGGCGUGCCUAAUACAUGCAAGUCGAACGCAGUGGGGACGGGUGAGUAACACGUGGGUAACCUCCCAUCAGAGGGGAUAACACUUGGAAACAGGUGCUAAACCGAUACUGAUGGAUGGACCCGGGGUGCAUUAGCUAGUUGGUGAGGUAACGGCGCACCAGGGCCACGAUGCAUAGCGGGCCUGGUAGGGUGAGCAGUGGCCAUGGGACUGAAGCACAGCCCAGACUCCUACGAGAGGCAGCAGUAGGGAAUCUGAGGCGAUGGACGAAAGUCUGACCGAGCAACGCCGCGUGAGUGAAGAAGGUUUUCGGAUCGUAAAAGUCUGUUGGUAGAGAAGCGGUAUCGAAACAGAAAGCAACGGCUAACUACGUGCCAGCAGCCGCGGUAAUAC
rnacentral:rRNA from 1 species